UUGUUCCCUAGCCUGAUCUCCAAGACACAACACAAUUGCUUAAUUUUCUCGCAAACCAAUUUCAUUAUCAGACACUCAAACCUAAUUUCCCAAAUUUAUUUUACAAUUCCAACUAAUUAAUGUCCCGAAAUCUUAACCUUGCCACCAUUUUCCUUCUUCUUCUUCUUUCCACCUCUGUAUGUUUCAUUACCGAAGCUAGUCCUCUAAAUGAUCAUGUAAAGCCUGAUGAGAACUAUAUGAGCAAAGUGACUGAAAAUUUGUACAAUGGCUUUUAUAUCGACGCUAUUAAAAGCGCAGGAGGUGGUGCAUUCAUCCAUGGAGGAAAGGGCUCUAUAAUAUUCCCAAUUCAAAACUCUAGGGGAGAUCAAGGACUCUGGACCAGCUCCGGGAGGGAAGGGACAUGAAUUUGUGAAUGCUGAAACUCUUGGGGAGAGGAAAGACUCUGGACCAGCUCCCGGAGGGAAAGGACACUAGCUAGUGCUCUACUAUUAUUUUAUUUUAUUAAUUGAAUGCAUGCAUGUCAUUCAACUUUGAUUCUUUAGCGAAUUCGUUAUUUUUUCAUUCCCCACUCACACACACACACAAAAAUAAAAAAAAGUAGUUAGUUUCUAGGCAAUAUAUAACUAUAUUUUGCCUGCAGAAUAGUAAUCUUACCAUGUAAUUUUCCUUGACGCUAGUGUUAUCAAGUUGGCUUCUGCUAAAUAAUUCUGCUUUAACUUAACAAUGGUGAUGCAUGGCAAUGGAAUAUGUACUCUCGCCAUCUUAAAGCUGGU
rnacentral:lncRNA from 1 species